AAGCAGGGGAUCGCAAGACCUUGCGCUUUUGGAGCGGCCGAUGCCUGAUUAGCUAGUUGGUAGGGUAAUGGCUUACCAAGGCGACGAUCAGUAGUUGGUCUGAGAGGACGACCAGCCACACUGGGACUGAGACACGGCCCAGACUCCUACGGGAGGCAGCAGUGGGGAAUUUUGGACAAUGGGCGAAAGCCUGAUCCAGCAAUGCCGCGUGAGUGAAGAAGGCCUUCGGGUUGUAAAGCUCUUUCAGUCGAGAAGAAAAGGUUGUGACUAAUAAUCACAACUCAUGACGGUAUCGACAGAAGAAGCACCGGCUAACUACGUGCCAGCAGCCGCGGUAAUACGUAGGGUGCGAGCGUUAAUCGGAAUUACUGGGCGUAAAGGGUGCGCAGGCGGCUUUGUAAGUCAGAUGUGAAAUCCCCGGGCUUAACCUGGGAAUUGCGUUUGAAACUACAAGGCUAGAGU
rnacentral:rRNA from 1 species